rnacentral:misc_RNA from 1 species
AAAUGCGAUAAGUAAUGUGAAUUGCAGAAUUCCAUGAAUCAUCGAAUCUUUGAACGCACAUUGCGCCCUCUGGUAUUCCGGGGGCAUGCCUGUCCGAGCGUCAUUGCGAACCCCUCAAGCACGGCUUGUGUGAUGGGCCCUCCCGCGUCUUGGUCGUCAAGACGGGCCCGAAAUGCAGUGGCGGCUUCGCGGUUAUCCGAUCAGCCAGAGCGUAUGGGGACUCUCUCUCUUGUCACACGCCCGCGGCGCGGACCGACGCCUGUCGACCUUUAUUCAUCUUCUCUCGGUUGACCUCGGAUCAGGUAGGGAUACCCGCUGAACUUAAGC